AGAUUGAACGCUGGCGGCAUGCCUAACACAUGCAAGUCGAACGGGAGUAGCAAUACUCUAGUGGCGGACGGGUGAGGAAUACGUAGGAAUUUGCCCUUAAGUGGGGGAUAACCCGGGGAAACCCGGAUUAAUACCGCAUGACCUCGAAAGAGCAAAGUGGGGGAUCGCAAGACCUCACGCUUUUGGAGAAGCCUACGUCGGAUUAGCUAGUUGGUGAGGUAAUGGCUCACCAAGGCGACGAUCCGUAACUGGUCUGAGAGGAUGAUCAGUCACACCGGAACUGAGACACGGUCCGGACUCCUACGGGAGGCAGCAGUGGGGAAUAUUGGACAAUGGGCGCAAGCCUGAUCCAGCAAUGCCGCGUGUGUGAAGAAGGCCUU
rnacentral:rRNA from 1 species